CGGCUUGAAACGUUUGUCUUCCUCACGCUUGUUCUUUGUCUUUGCAUGCUUCAAAGCUUCCAUAUAAUCUGCACAUGACUCUUUUGACAAAAACAAGUGCAUCAUAUCUGUGUAAUCAAUAAAAGAACUCCUGAAAACAUGAUUGGUUACCUUAGCAUGCUCACCUGGUCGCCAUAGAUAGGAUUGAGAUGUUCUAUACUCAAAAAAAUU
rnacentral:lncRNA from 1 species